UGAAUGCACUAACUGUAAGUCGCUCUGGAUAAGAGCAUCUGCUAAAUGACUAAAA
rfam:Salmo salar isolate Sally breed double haploid chromosome ssa08, whole genome shotgun sequence.